GAUCCUGGCUCAGGACGAACGCUGGCGGCGUGCCUAAUACAUGCAAGUCGAGCGAAGUUUUUCUGGUGCUUGCACUAGAAAAACUUAGCGGCGAACGGGUGAGUAACACGUAAAGAACCUGCCUCAUAGACGGGGACAACUAUUGGAACGAUAGCUAAUACCGGAUAACAGCAUAAAUCGCAUGAUAUAUGUUUAAAAGUUAGGUUUCGGCUAACACUAUGAGAUGGCUUUGUCGGUGCAUUAG
rnacentral:rRNA from 1 species